rnacentral:rRNA from 1 species
UACGGGAGGGGGCUAGCGUUGUUCGGAAUUACUGGGCGUAAAGCGCGCGUAGGCGGACCUGCAAGUCGGGGGUGAAAAGCCCCGAGGCUCAACCUCGGAACUGCCUUCGAUACUGCGGGUCUCGAGUCCGGGAGAGGUGGAGUGGAAUUCCGUAAGUGUAGAGGUGAAAUUCGUAGAUAUUAGGAAGAACACACGUGGGC